rnacentral:rRNA from 1 species
CUAUGCGAUCAUACCAGCACUAAAGCACCGGAUCCCAUCAGAACUCCGAAGUUAAGCGUGCUUGGGCGAGAGUAGUACUAGGAUGGGUGACUUCCUGGGAAGUCCUCGUGUUGCAUUCC